rnacentral:lncRNA from 1 species
CCACCUAAAAAUUGUUGAUAUCAUAAAAUUUUUUUCUCUAAAUGACAAUUUGAUCUGGAGAUUUUAUUUUUUUGGUCGGAAUCAAGUUUCAUUAAUAGAAAGCCAAUGCCAAUUACAUCAUAGUGAAAUUAUUUAUAAAUUAUAAUAAUAAAUAAAUAAAUAAAAAGAGUCCAAACAAAUGCAGCCGUAAAACCCCAAUAAAAAUAAAACUCAAACAGACAUAAAACCUACAACUGGCAUAAAGUCAGAGCUCAAAAAUGACAUAAAGUCAAAGCCAAAACUGGCAUAAAGUGAGAGCCAACCAAAAGCAUAAACACCAUCAAAUGCCAAGCAAUGUUGCUGCUGCCUCCACGAAGAUCGGGACAUAGCCACCAUGAUUAAUGAUGAGGGAAAGAACUGCAAACACACAAAACAAAUACAAAAACCACAAAUUUGAUAAUCCCUCGCUAUACAUAAACCGGCCAUCAAAGACUCAUUAACUCCUUCAAAAACGAAACCAUCAAAACACCAAGAAGGAAACAUCAGCCAAUCCAAGAACAAACCUGGAAAAUACUUCCCAAAGCCAAAGAAAUCGACAUCCUAAUCAUGGAAGGAGGUGGUAACAACCUAAGAAUGGAAGGAGGUAGUGCAAGCACCCAAGCAAGAGCUCUACACAUCUUCCAAAGAGGACACGAAAAAUCAUGUUUGGGAUUAAUCGAUGCAUCUAAUGGGGGUUGAUAGAUCCAAGAGGGAGAUAAACCUUGAAGGAGCCAAUAUGGAAGGAGGAAUUUAAAGGAAUCUUGGAAAAUAAAAAUAAAAAUGAGGAAUGAUAAAAGAGUUGGGUUGAAGUGGAAUAUGAAAAUGAAAGGAGUAUCAGGGGGAGGUAGUGACCACCUUCCCCCUAGAUGGCAUUGAAAGGCUCUGAGGCCCUAUUUGGUAGGUUAGACUGGAAUGGAUUGGAUAUAUUAGACUGGACUGGUUGGGAUAUGAUUGAAUUUUAAGCAAUUGUUUAGUGCAAUAAACACCAAGUUGAGAUUGCAGGACUGGAACAAAAAUAGAAAAAUUUAAAAAUAUUCAAACAAAUUUAUAAAAAUUAUAAUAAUGAAUACAAUUCUAAAAAAAUCUAUGAAUCACAGGACUGUGACUCAAAGUCCAGAGAAAGAUCAAUUGGGUGUCUCCUCCGUGGCCAGUUGCAGCAACCGAUCCCCUGCCGGAACAGAACUUUGUCUCGAUGAUCAAUCAAACCCAUAAUUCAAAUCAUUCUUUCCAAAAAAAUCCCCAAAUCUUGGUGAAAUUUCAUAACCUGCCAUUGAAAGAGCUUUUCCCUAGAAAAUCUUUUCCUUCUUUGCACAAGUCCUCUAGAAUUUUCUCCAACUCAUCUCUUCUAAUUCUCAUCAAGAGCUUGAAAAUAUUCACACCAAGGUUGUGAUCCCAUAUUGGUUUUCCACUCUCCAUCUCCGCAACCAAACACCCAAGAGCCCAAACAAGCAAGAAAUGCAAGGCUCCCUCAUAAGAUCUCAAGAACAAGGCCUCCUUUAAAUUAGAUCUCAAGCUUUGCCAGAUCAACUGUAAAAUGCAAAGAUAUGGCAAAGGGGAAGAGAGAGUGGAAGAGAGAGAGAGAUUGGAGAAGAGAGAUGAGAAUAUAAAGCAGCAAAAAAAAGCCAAAGCAAGUUCUCGAAAAUCAAGGAAUGGGUUUUGGAGCCGGUGUUAUUAUGGACUGGGGUCUAAUAACUACAUCCAGUCCAUAAUGCAUUUUAAGCCCACCAAGUAAUGCCCAGGAUGACAGGACCCGAUCCAAAUUUCGCUUUGAAAUCCGAGUCAGACUCUGUGCGUGUUCGACACCUGGCAAAUGUCGGGCACAAAUGACCUCUUUGCCCUUCUAUACAAAACACGAUAGGACCUGAGAGUCAUUACACAGGACCUAUGUCUAUUUUAAAUGAAAAAAUUUUAUUCAGUCCAGUCCACCAAAUACGACCUGAGGGUUUGAGAGAGAAGGUGCGGCUUGUGUUGGUGGAGAGAGAAAAGUUUGGAACAAUACUUUUUUUGAGGUUGGAUUGCACAAUCUUAGCAAUAUUGGCCCACUGUAAAUCCACCCUUGCCGAAUGAUUUUACAAUACAUUUUGUCCAUUUAAUCACAAAGUUCAUGAUAUUACAGAAUUGACAUGUAUGCAUCAAGGUAAAGCUUGUUAAAGAGUUGAGCUUGUGGAGAUCUCUCAUAUUCUAUUUUGUUUGCCAAACGUAUAUUUAGUUCACUCCAAUAUCUUAUAAAAUUU